AGGGUUGCCUGUGAUGCUGAGCUGAGACCUGUUCUCAAUCUUCCUCUUCCCUUAAAUCACCUCACUCUGCUCAACAAUUGCAUGGAGGGGGGUCCACCACCAUUUGGGAGGUAUCUCCCCCAAGUCUGUUUUGAAAGUUCAGCAGAGUUACUCCACCAGUCUAUCUCCUGCUCACACCCUCUGAUACUCCUUAAUCUCUCCACCCCCUCCUUGAGCUUCACCACCACACUGAGCAGAUCAUCCACCUGCUCACACCUCAUGCAGGUGGAAUCCCUGCCACCCUUCACCAGCAGCCACAGGCUCAGGCACUUGCUGCAGCCAGAGAGUUGACCCACCACAUUUUUAUGCAGGGGCUCCAUCUGAGUCGCCACAUUCUUUCUUGCUGAGUUAUCUGCCUAGUGGAGACCACGGAUAGAUUGGUUGUCUGUGAGGCAGCUGGUAGGUGAGCUGGUCUCCUGAAUGGACAGAGAUGCUCUGCCUUCCUCACCCUCCCUGUUCGCCUGCCCUGCAUGAACUGCCCACACACUCUGCUGCUCCACGCCCUUCUGAUGCGCCAUGUUCUGUUUGCCUGUCCUGUUCACUCUGCCACUGGGUGGCUCCACUCCCUACCGGCAGGUUCCACACAUGCAGAGGUGAUCCCACCACUGCUCCUGGCUCCACCCCUGUGAUGUCAGAAUGCCACUGCCCCAUGGAGGACAAUGGCACCUGGCAGCUGCUCCCUGACAGAGCUGCCCCUCAACCAGCUGAGGUAAUUCACUGCUUCAGUGCAGAAUGCGACCACUCCACAGCCGAAUACCUCUCCAAAAAGGGAUAUCUUUGAAGCAUUUGCUGGUUGUCUCCGAGGAACUAAAUAAUUGUGUGAUGCUUCUCCUGUUUCACCUGUGACAGUGAAGGAUAUCUUCCAAAGGAUAGACAGAAGCAGCAGCUAAGUACAGUUACUGAAGAUUUGCUUUCUGACAGAGACCUGAGCAGCACCUCUGAUAGCACCAGGAAGCAUAGCUCUGCACAGUUCGAUGCUCUGUGAAAUGUGGGUAUGAAUGGGACAUGUGAAAUCCUCCGUCUGUACUUGGUCUCAUCAUAACAAAGCCGCCAACCAAUCCCUGUCAUGAGGAGCAGGUGUUUUGGUUUUCUUGUUUAAAAACCUAAGUUUUAUUUAGAUCACAAAGAAGUUAACAGGCAGCUUUUUCACCCUGAUGACUACAGUAAAUUCUUCUGAAGAUCACAACAGUGUAUGCCAAGUCUUUCCCAUUUACUUCGGGGUCAAAUCUUCAAAAAGGCACACACACACAUUUAUCUGUCCAGAACAGUCAUGGUGAUUUUAUCAAACAAAAUAAAGCUGAGAUCAUGAGGAUCAUACUAUGCCUGUCCAAGAGCUCCGAAGACAUCUUCCCAUUUUGUGGAAGAGAGCUCAUAAAAUCUGUGGAGAUUUAGUUGUUUAGUUUCUAGUUAACUGUUUUCCUAGUGGCCAAGAACAUUUAUACAAUUGCAUUAUUCCACCUCUAUCAUAUUUGAUUGUAUUACAUUUUCUAAUAUAAAGACUGAACUCACACACUUGCAAGUGCCAUGAAUAUACAUAUAACAUGAUUUAAAAUGUCUUAACCUCUCUGGAGCAUCUGCCUGUUCAUAUUUGCUAUUACAGUGUUAUGGUGGCUGCCUUCAGCAGGGAUAAGUAAUUCGUCUACAUUUUCUUUUAUUCUCAGAAGAACAUACAAAAUAGUGAUGUUAAUUGCCAACAUUAUAUAUCCUCAGCAAUGGUAGAUCUUACUCUUAAUGAAAAAUCUCACAGGAUAAACUAGGUAAAGAAGAGGAAAUGAUAUCUUUUUCUUGUAUGUAUUUUCCUUUAUCAGAAAAAAAAAAAAGAUCCUGAAAAAUGGCAUGAUCCUCUACCUACAUUGACAACAGAAAUUCUUUAAGUGAAACAAGAAAUUUCCUUUCACGCCAGUUUCCAUUUUCUUGCUCAUAACCUUGUCCAGAGAUAGAUAUAGCCUAUUAUAUCUAAAACAAUGAGAGUUAAAACUGAGCUAUUUUGUGCUAGAACUGCAGGAUGAUACAUCAAAUCUCUCAAAGGUUUCACUUGUCAUGAGCAUUUUUUGUUCUUAUGUUUAUAGAGAUACUUGUAUUAGUGACCUAUUCUUAUGAGAGACCUCUGCUCCCUUUUCAAUUAAUAGUUAAU